rnacentral:rRNA from 1 species
UACGGAAGGGGCAAGCGUUGUUCGGAAUCAUUGGGCGUAAAGGGCGCGUAGGUGGUCUUAUGUGUCUACUGUGAAAGCACACGGCUCAACCGUGUCGGGUCGGUAGAAACUGUAGGACUUGAGGCUGGGAGGGGCUGGUGGAAUUCCCUGUGUAGCGGUGAAAUGCGUAGAGAUGGGGGAGAACACUCGUGGCGAAGGCGGCCAGCUGGACCAGUCCUGACACUGAGGCGCGACAGCAUGGGGAGCAAAC